rnacentral:rRNA from 1 species
AAACCAACAGGGAUUCCCCUAGUAACGGCGAGUGAAGCGGGAAAAGCUCAAAUUUGAAAGCUAGCAUCUUUUGAAGGUGUUCGCAUUGUAAUUUGAAGAUAGGUGACUUUUGGUUCUGGCAAUAGUCUAUGUUUCUUGGAACAGGACAUCAUAGAGGGUGAGAAUCCCGUAUGACUUUGCUUGGAUCAUUUGUAAGUCCUUAUCGAAGAGUCGAGUUGUUUGGGAAUGCAGCUCUAAGUGGGAGGUAAAUUCCUUCUAAAGCUAAAUAUUGGGGAGAGACCGAUAGCAAACAAGUACAGUGAUGGAAAGAUGAAAAGCACUUUGAAAAGAGAGUGAAAAAGUACGUGAAAUUGCCGAAAGGGAAGGGUAUUUGAUUAGCCAUGACCUUUUUUAACAGGAUUUGCCCUUGUGGCGCUUCUUUACAUAAAUUUGGUUGUGCCAAAAUCAGUUUUGUCGGCAGGAUAAUGGCGUAGGAAUGUGGCUUUGUUUUCUGAAUAAAGUGUUAUAGCCUGCGUUGAUGCUGCCUGGCGGGACUGAGGACUGCGUAAUUUUAUUAUUACUAGGAUUUUGGCCUAAUGAUCAAAUACCGC